CCUCAAAUUUCAACACUCCCUUAUUUUGUUUUCUCUUGACAGGGACCACCCUUUUCUAUUAUCGCCGUCUGUGGCUUGCUGAUAAGAAAAACUACCUUCAUCUUCAUCACUCAGAAGGCUACAAUCUCAUGGAAAAAAAUAAAGCCACACCUCCAUUUCGAGAAGAAAUUGUGACUUCCUAUUUCUCCAUGUUGCUGUUUUUUUUCCUUUCCUUUAAUUUUUCCUUUUUUUUCUUCUUUCUUAUCCUUAAUUACGAGAGGAGCAUGUGGGAUUUACUAUGAAAUUUCAGACUUGCCGUGUUCACUUCAAUCAACUUUACCUUCACUUCUUAUUGAGCAGAAACAACACAUGCAACAUCUAUCCUUUACAUAGCUACCACACAUCUAAUUAUGAACGUGCAUAUGAAUUAAUCCUUUAAAUCUCAUUGGUGGUGUAUCAGUAUAACAACAUCUAUCCCUUUUCCUUUUGGUAUGCGUUAGAUGUGAAUGUGGAAAGAGCGGAAGAUGUUCAUAUGCAUAAGAGAUUACUACAUUUAGCACAUGAUCCUGCUAAUAGGCCUCAAAUUGAAAUUCGCUUAGUUCAGGUGACUUGACCCUUGCAGUGUUCUGUUCUUCAUGCUAUUAAUUCAAAUCUUUGUAGUUUUCAUUUCUUAGUGCUUUUGUGUGGCUCAGCCUAUGAAGCACGGGUACAUACACGAACAUUGACACAUCAACACCAAUAAUAAUUUGAGAAAAUGAUAUAACUCAUUGUAAUCAUAUGUGUCGGACACCGGGACCAAGACACGCCUAAUCCCGUGGAGUAUCCGUGCUUCAUGGAUGCGGCAUUGUUGUUUUGCUGUGUUUUAUUGACAAGUGGUUCAUUUCAUUCUUGGUGUAGGGUUUACCAUUUUAAAUGUAUAUCUUCCAAUUUGGGAUUGCCUGUUAUACCUGUAUGCUUUAACAAACUGAAAAAGAUCAAGCACAAUUUAUAUUUACACUGUACAUGCUGGAGCACUCUAAUCAGCAUGCCUUGAAUUUUUUAUUACCUCCUUGACUGAAGAAAUAUAGCACAUUUUGAAUUUCAACUUGUUUUCUUAUAUCAUUGUUGCGAUGAUUCAUUUGAGCCACUUUUAGUAUACUAGCUUUGUAGUUGAGGAAAAUCUCUUACAGGUUUCUUUUGUUGAUGUGUCAUCAGUAUGUCUGUGAAUAUUUUCUUUCACAAGAUCAAACUGCAUUUGUCUGGUUGAAUCGUCUCUUUUUAAGUAAUCAGAUAUUUUUCUUACUUUCUGAAUUGUAAAGAUUAUGGCUUUCCACAAGAUGGGACCGACAUUUGUCGAUAUGCCACGGUCUGUUUACUAAGAUCAUCAUAGAUUAUUAAUGCGUGCAUUCCAAAAAAACGAUUCUAUAUGCAGACGUGAAAGCUCUAUCGAUAGAAGCAUUCAUUCUAGCCCUGGUGUGAGUGCCAAUUGAAUGGUGUUAUAAAUCAUGGAAUCGAAGGGAUAAAGAUCAUAGAUGUCGGCAAGAUAGAGUGCAUAAGAGUAUUCAUGAGGAAGAUACUCAUAGAAAUUCAUGUUGAAUGAAUAUAGAUUGAUAAAAGAAUGAGUAAAAUGUACAAUGAAGUAGCUUAUUUAUAGAACAAUUUGGAGUAACUAACUCCCUAACUAACUUUCUAACCUCCUAACUAACUUGGUAACCUAUCGACUAACUCUAGUUGAUUAACUAACUAUCUAUAUUCUUAACAGCCUCCCUCAAACUCAACAUUGGGAAAAUUACCAAUUUGAGUUUGAAUUACAAAGCUAAAUCCAAACAAAGAAACAAAGCAUUGAAUUUUUGGCUUGUAAUACAUUCCUCGAAACCAUAGACUCCAAGCAAGCAACAUAAAAUCUGCACAACUAGCCUCAUAACACCUUCCAUAGUCUGCAACAAGUGACCUUCCAAUUGGACUGAAACCUUUAAACAAACACCAGAACCAACUCUUGCAAAAAAAGAACAAUGGCGAAAACUCAAACAACUUGUUAAAACCAAGGUAAUCACACAACCAUUUCUAGAAUGAAGAUCCAAAAUUUGAAAAUCACAGUCAAUUAUCAUGCCAGUAAUUACUUCCAUGGGAGACUCCACUUCAAUACCUUUUGUGCAAAAUAACCUUGUCUAUACCAAAUUGCAUUGUAUUCAACGAAUUUUAAUAGAGGACCUUUACCAAGUAUCUUAUGAGCAUUACAAUUUCCAAACUCCAUGAAUAAACCAAAUGUAACAAUUCUUAUUUAAUUGAUUUUCACAUAAGCAAGAACACAAGCAAUGUCAGCAAAUAACCAAGUAACAAAAUCUGAUCCUUCUCUAAUGUGAAAACCAACUAAUCCAAAACUGAACAAAUGUGCAGAAUUGACUUCUAUAUUGUAAUAGCCUCCCUCAAACUCAUAGUAACAGAAUUUUUAGUAUGAGUUUGGAAAACAAAGGACCAAACAGAAGGCAAGAACAGCGGUUAUUUCAACAUCCACAAUUAUGCAGAACUGACUUCUAAUAUAUCACUGACAUAGGAAAGUUCCACCGGGAUCGAAAGGGAAGAGUGAGAUUGAAUCGAAAAUUGACAUAAUAGAGAGCAUAGUAGCAGAACUGGAAAUCACUGACAUAAUUCCACCGGGAUCAAAAUCGACGAUGCACUCAUCAUGUAGUUCGAAAAGCCAAACCUGGUUGUUGAUUGUUGUGCUACUGAUUUGUUGUUUCUGUUUUCCGACGUAGAACCAAGAAGCGAAAGGCCUUAUGGCGGCAACGCCGUAAACAGAUCCAUAGCAUAGCGGAACUCUACCUUUGAUAAGAUUCUCCGACCUCUUGAUUUCUGCAGAAACACCAAACUCAGAUUUGCAUUCGUUCAAUCCUUUGAUUGCUUCAGAAACCACAAUUUCAGAAUCAAGAUUCUUCGAUUUCUCGUCGUCUUCCGAAGCUGCAAACGCAGAUUUAUUGUUGCAACUUGAAGCAACAAGAACACAUGCAAUUUCCCCGAUCUUGAUGGUGAAUCCAUCAAUUGUUGGCUUGAUUGGAGUGAUUGAAGCGAAUUGAACGGCGGAAAAAUCUGAAUUCCUAAAACUGCCAAAACAAAUGUGAUUGCAGAUUGUUGAAGAUUGAGCUUCUGGUGCAGAAACCUCCAUAGCUACAUCAUGAGAAAGAGCUUCAUCUUCAUCAAUGGCUGAAUCGAAAUCGGCAGCGGAAUCUUCAUCUUCAUCCCUUGGGUAUCGCUCUGAUACCAUGUUAUAAAUCAUGGAAUCGAAUGGAUAAAGAUCAUAGAUGUCGGCAAGAUAGAGUGCAUAAGAGUAUUCAUGAGGAAGAUACUCAUAGAAAUUCAUGUUGAAUGAAUAUAGAUUGAUAAAAGAAUGAGUAAAAUGUACAAUGAAGUAGCUUAUUUAUAGAACAAUUUGGAGUAACUAACUCCCUAACUAACUUUCUAACCUCCUAACUAACUUGGUAACCUAUCGACUAACUCUAGUUGAUUAACUAACUAUCUAUAUUCUUAACAAAUGGCAAUGGCAUGGAUGAGUGAACUCGAUGCGACACCGGUCUGGCCCGCACCUACAUGGACUUCAAAUUUACCUCAUUGCGAGCCAAAAACCUAUAUUCCCGCUCAUGCUUACUAUAACAAUUCCCUUGCUUGCUAGAUUUGUCUAAAAGAAGAAAAGAUGCACUUCUUGAUAGAUUGGAUAGCCUGAAAGAUGGUAGAGGAUAAGACUUCUAACUCUUUAACCUCGCCCAAUAUGCUGCUUCUGUACCAACGCCUGCUUCCUCCUCUAAGCAAGCAUUUUCUCUGUUCCAUGUGGACAAUAUCAUUUUGGCAUUGGAAUUUUGGUGCAGCUUCAUUCCUCAUCUGAUGAAAACACAGCUGAAUCUUUCCAACCAUAUGCACCUGGGGAAGAUUCUGUUCAGAGUUCUUCAAAGUACUCAAGCGGAUAGGGGUAUCAUUUUCUCACUUAUCAUCACUUCAUAAAAAGUAAACUUUUUGGGUGCUCUUAUCAUAAAGCUCAAGUAAUAGCUGUGUAAUACUUCCACCUCCUGCUUUUGGUUCUUCUCCUAAUCUUGAAGCACUGGCUCUUGAAGAAAAUGAUUCUGUUGACUUAGAAGAGGAGCGAUCUGUGCAUGCCAGUGUACAAUAUACACGGUGAAAUUUCUGAUGCAAGCUUUUUUUAGGCCUAGACCUGGAAAAUAUAUCUGAAAAAUGACCUAGAAUCUAGAUUAUACAUCCUUUUCUUUUCACGUGGGGGUGGAUCUGAAUAUUUAACUCAGAUCUUCUAUAACCCUACUACCCUAGUACUUUUCAAUUAUAUUAAUAAAUAUCUCUUUGGCAUUCUAGAGGUUGAGAUACUGAUAAUUAUUAUACCCAAGAUAUGUCUAUCUAUAAGCUUGUAUGAUGGGUAGAAAUAUUAUACCUCAGAUGAUUUAUGAAAUUUUUGUUCUGGUGUUUCGGAUGCUUUGUAAAAAAAAUAUCAAACAUCUGUCACUGAAAAUGAUGUAGGCCCAUCCAUGCAUGAAAUCACCUUCUCAACAGAUGACAAACCAAAGCUUCUCAGCCGUUAACUGCUUUGCUUGCUGAGGUUGGACUAAACAUCCAAGAGGCACAUGCUUUUUCCACAACUGACGGUUACUCGUUAGACGUGUUUGUUGUUGAAGGAUGGCCCUAUGAGGAAACAGAGAAGCUCAAAGAAACUUUGGAAAAAGAAGUCUUGAAGAUUGAGAGUCCAGCUAGGUACUGGCAUGCCUUUUCCAUGAAUCCCAGAUACAGAAGAUGUUUGGGAAAUAGAUCCUAAACAUACAUUUGAAAUACGGAACUCAAGUUGCAUCUGCGUCAUACGGUGAACUAUUUAAAGGUACAUAUUGUAGCCAGGAAGUAGCCAUCAAAGUUCUCAAGGCUGAGCUUGUAAGUUCAGAAAUGCAGAAAGAGUUUGCUCAGGAAGUCUUCAUCAUGAGAAAGGUUUGACGCAAGAAUGUCGAGCAAUUCAUGGGAGCAUGUACCAAGCCCCCACUCUUAUGCAUAGUUUACAGAGUUUAUGUCUGGUGGAAGUGUGUAAGACUACCUACAUAAGCAGAAAGGGUUUUUCAAAUUUCAUACCCUGCUCAAAGUGGCAAUUAAUGUUUCUAAAGGACGGAACCACUUGCACCAACAUAAUUCAUAGAGACUUGAAGACUGCCAUGCCAAUCUUUUGAUGGAUGAAAACAGUGUUGUAAAGGUCGCUGAUUUUGGGGUUGCUAGAGUGAAAACUCAAUCCGGAGUUAUGACAACAGAAACUGGGACAUAUCAUUGGAUCUUGCUGGCCUUUUCAAGCCCUGUUGUCUUUUGAGAAUUGGUUGUUUUAUUUUUAAUAAAAGUUAAGUGAUUAUGUUUAUUAAGUUGAUGAUUUUUAUAGAGUUUUGUCCUUCUAGAAAAAUACAAUAAAUGAAAAUGUUGACAUUACUCAUGAGCCACUUAGGUUCCAGACAUGUUCUCAUAUCGACUUUAGCAAUAAUCUUAUCCUAAUGCACA